UACGUAGGGGGCAAGCGUUGUCCGGAUUUACUGGGCGUAAAGCGCACGCAGGCGGUCGGUCGCGUUCGUGCUGACAGUCCCCGGCUCAACUGGGGAAGGCGUACGAAAACGGGUCGACUUGAGGGCUUCAGAGGGAUACGGAAUUCCGGGUGGAGUGGUGAAAUGCGUAGAUAUCCGGAGGAACACCAAAGGCGAAGGCAGUAUCCUGGGAAGUUCCUGACGCUCAGGUGCGAAAGCCAGGGGAG
rnacentral:rRNA from 1 species